UUUCUUAGAUUUGGUUCUCUCAGGAAGAAUUGCGUUUAUGACCAGAGCUUGUUUACUUUGCAUGGAAAUUCUAUAUUGGAAGAUUUGGUAAUAACUUUAGCAGAUGGCAUUGCCAGUGUUUAUUUGGAGCUUAUUUCUGUUGAUGGUUAUUUGUCAAAUGAAAAGAACAACCUGGGAAUGGCUAUGUGUAAUUUGUCAACCCGAGCACUCCAAAGAUUGCGAAAUGAGGUGGCUUUGAAUCAAUGGUUGUAUCAAAAUGUGGAGGCAGUUGUAUCAAUGUAUGAGGAUCGAUUUGAUCUAUGCACUCUACAGUCAAUAGUCAUUGAGGAACCAAGCAAGAAUCAGACUGAAAAUCCUAGUUGGUGGAAGAAUCUAACUGGGAGAAAACAUGGAACAAUACCAUGUUCAUUAAGUUAUGUUGUCACAAGCCAGUUCUCUAUGCCUGUAAAACGGACCAAGGAAUUAAGGGCCUUAACAGGGUGGUAUGUCUCUAUUCUUUGACCCUGCAUUUUUUUUCCCUCUUGCAUGUGACAUAAACAUGUCUUCCAGUUGGAUGUGGAACUGAGGAUUCAUUCAAAGCAAUGAUGAAAUAUAGCUGAAACAUAGAGCCUUAUUUUUCUCUUAUUUCAUUUUCUUUACAUCGUAAGGUAUGUCUCCUGAAAAUAUCAUGGUUUGAACCUGAACUUCUUAACAUUGUAGAUUGUUCAAUGUGUUUUUUUCCCAUGGGAUCAGAGUAGGAUGGUGGCUGAAGUGGAGUUGUUAACUUUUGGCUGUAUAAAAGUUAUUGGGAAUUCUGGAUAAUAAAAUUUGCAAUAUUUUGGCGAAGUGGAUGGGUGGAGCAGAUGAAAAACUUUUUGUUAGAUUUGAAAUGGUGCAUGGAUUAAUUUCUUGAGGUAAUCUAUAAUUGUUUAGCUGAUUCUGUAAUUUGAUCAGGGCAUUGCUAAACGGUGAUAGUACCUUUAGGAAAUGAGUUGUUGUGCUAGGAAGCAAUCACUUUCACAAUUAGGGUAAUAUUUUUGGAUUUGGACAAUUGCUGUUAUCAAAUAAUGGUUUAGACCACGGGGAUUUGGAAAUUGGUUUGACAUGUUGUAAAAUUGCUAAAACUGUGUGCAUUCCAUGAUCUCUUCGAGAAGAGAGGUAACGGACUUGAUCUCUUCAAUUAUUUACAAUUAUGCUUAAAUGUACCGGUCCCUUGCACCUUAGUGCUCUUCUUUCUUUAUUGCUACCCCUUCACACACUCUUCCUCUAUCUUCUUCCUUUCUUUCCUUGUUGCAGAUUUGCUGAUUUUUUGGUUUAACCAUUUAAUCUAAUUGAAAGAACCAAUACUUCCAUGGAGCUGUGUCAAGUGCUGGGAUUUUUUGUCCUACCAUCCAAUCAUAUUUUGCUACAUUCUUCAACUACUGUAUGAUUUUUCGUGAUUACAAACUGAAAUAUUGUCUGUUUCCCUCUCUAAAUUAUCUUUUAUUGAUUUGCAGGAGAUACUACUUUAGUCUGUACCUUGAGUUAUCGGAUAUUUCCAUGCCAUUGAUUAGAGCUAUCAUCGACAAAGUUAGCAAUGCCAUAUCAUUCUUUCUAGUUUCCUUGAUUGGGAGGUCAUUAGGACUCAUCUACUCUGGAAUUAGGCAGUCCCUGCGGUGGAAAUGAGCUGUCAUGAGUUCAUUUUUUUUUUUUUUUUUUUUGUU
rnacentral:misc_RNA from 1 species